rnacentral:lncRNA from 13 species
CCCUCGGAUACCCACCAGGGAUGACCUACUGACCAUCUGAUACCCACCAGGGACGACCUACUGACCCUCUGAUACCCACCAGGGAUGACCCUCUGACCCUCUGAUACCCACCAGGGAUGACAUGAUUGACAGCCGCUGCAGUGGAGCCUCUUUGGAGCCUGAUCUACAUCCAUAGUGUGUGAGUGUUGAUACCCACCAGCUGUCUGCCAGAUGUCUGAUGGGAGAGUCAGGUUGUCCCUGAUACCCACCAGCUGUCUG